AGUUGAAGGUGGACGGUCGCUGGCUGGUCGAGGAGACUCGCACUUAGCUGGAGGAAAGUCCGGGCACCGGCGGGUUGAUCUCUCUUCGACAGAAGGAGAGACUCCUGCGGAGUCACCAUGCAGGCUAACGGCCUGGGUCUGCUUCGGCAGAUACGGAAAGUGGCACAGAAAAUAUACCGCCGAUGGCCCGCAAGGGAUCAGGUAAGGUUGAAAUCGUGAGGUAAGAGCUCACGGCUUCUGUCGGUGACGACAGUUGCGCUAAACCCCAUGGGGUGCAAGACCAAAACAAGAACCUUUCCGCGUGAGCGGACAAGAGAAGACUCUCUCUUGAUGAAAUUUCUGAGGUUCUGAGGUAGGUCGCUUGAGGGAGUUUGGUAACAGACUCUCCAGAUUGAUGAUCGUCCACUCCUGAGAGGAAACUAAGAAUGGCCUCCUCUCGGAGUCGACAGAACCCGGCUUAUAGCCUUCAACUCAGG
rnacentral:RNase_P_RNA from 1 species